UUUAGGUUUGUUUUGGUUUGGUGUUGUUUUUUGUUUUUUCUGGGAGGAUUAGGAUGACUUUUUAAAAACGAGGCUCACACCUGCCCCACCCUAGGUGGAGGAGAAAAACGGAACUCAGGUUUUCUGCAUCUCCCCUGAGUGUCUGAACCUGUGCCCUGGAGGACUCAGGUGCUGCUCAGACAGAGAUAAUUUAUUUAAUAAAGGCAAAUUCCCCAGGAGUUACUGAGGUUAAUUCUGUGCAAGCAGCAGCUUCUCUGGGAUCUGUAUCAGUGGUGCUGUUCCUGCAAGGACUAUUUGUUCUAGGUUAUCUGUUGAACUCCAGCCAGGUCUUUGGUGGAAAAACCCUGCCUUUUGUCUACGUUUCACUUCUGCAUCAUCAGCCAGACUGUUUCCAUAUAAAUAACGUGACUGGAAUGUGCAGGAGACCAUUUUCUGUUCCAACUUGAAGUCCUACCAGCUCCUUUGGUCUGAUUCAGAUUCAUGCACUGCCCAACUGGAGUGGAGAGGAAGAAACAAUUCCACCCAAAAAUCAAACAGUGUCUGAGAGACAUUUGUUUGUUCAUAUUUAUGGGACAAAAGCUGGUGUUCCCACUUCCAUGUGCAUCAGUGUGGCUGGUUUGAAGGGCUGGCCUCAGCUCUGUUCCCUGUCCCCAGUGCUCUGGGGGAAAAUAAGGAUUAAGUGAUAUUUUUGGUUAAGACAUACAAGAGCCACCUGGUCCCCGCCUGAUCACCAGCAAAAGUCAGAACAGCCAGUUCAUAUCCAAUUUCCCCUGGUCCCUCUGGAGCUCUGGAAAGCAAGGAAAAAGCCUAGAGCUCUGCACUUCAUCUCUUUCCUUCAGCACUCCCAUUCCUUGGUACAAAAGCUGCCAUCUGCCUGGAGGACUGCAGUACAUUCGAGGAUAAAAAUCCAUUUUGCCCAUCCUGUACCUGGCUGAGCUUCCGCACAGAAAAUGACUUCAUCUGGCCUUUUUUUGCCCUCUGUUUUUACAGUCAGUGCCAUAAACAUGCUGUACACAAACACUCCUAGGAGCUGUGAGCAGGUAAGGUCUGUGUGGUAGGGCUGUGCUCAGUAACAGCACAAAGCUCCCAGUUCUGUGCAGUAAAACUCUUCCUGCCUGUGUGGUACAGGGCUGGGACGUUUUGUGUGUGGAGAUGAACCCCCAAUGCCUGUUGAUAUAAACCAGAUGGGCUCAUUACGUCCCAGUGCUUCUUAAAUACAGAGAAUGGUGGUGGUGGUGAUGUGUAGGCUUGCUACCUCCAGUUUAGGUCAAGGUUUAAUUUUAUUUUCCAGUUUUACUUUUUAAAAACAGGGUGGUCGUUCCUAGCUGGAAAACUAUGAUCAACUUAUCUGAAAAUAAAGAUAAGCUUUAUCAAAAAUGGGGAAUUAUAACCCAGAUUAAGAUGAUCUUAAACACUGAUUUCUGAUCCCUAAACACAGCUCAGUUUUUUGUCUGUUUGUUGUUUUAUGUGAGAGUUUGUUUUGGCUUUACUCUUGCCAUGAAUGGCACAUGGAGACAGUAACUGUAAAUAAGCAUCACCAGGUGUUUGUUCCAUUGGUUAUACUUUGAGCUCCUGAUUUUGGUCCUCUUUAGUGUGGGACACAAAACUUUUUGGGUGCUGUGGUGCUGGAACUGCCUGCAAAACACUCAGGAAUGAGCAGGCCUUUCAGAGACACUGCAACACA